AGAACGAACGCUGGCGGCAUGCCUAAUACAUGCAAGUCGAACGAACUCUUCGGAGUUAGUGGCGCACGGGUGCGUAACGCGUGGGAAUCUGCCCCUUGGUUCGGAAUAACAGUUGGAAACGACUGCUAAUACCGGAUGAUGACGAAAGUCCAAAGAUUUAUCGCCAAGGGAUGAGCCCGCGUAGGAUUAGCUAGUGGUGAGGUAAAGCUCACAAGCAACGAUCCUUAGCUGGUCUGAGAGGAUGAUCAAGCCACACGUGGGACUGAGACACGGCCCAGACCUCCGACGGGAGCAGCAGUAGGGAAUAGUAGGACAAGUCGGGACGAAAGCGUAGGAUCCAGACAA
rnacentral:rRNA from 1 species